rnacentral:lncRNA from 1 species
UUCGGUACACAACUCUUUCCUUAUGGUGAGAAUGAUCACGUUGAUAGUCCAUUACCCUGACUUCGGGCACGACCUCCUUCGACCUGCUCCUUUGUCGAUAAUCAUCUCGAUGCUGAGAGGUAACGACCAUUAUCGCCUUCUUCGAGGCCACGGGAGUUCUGCUCCUUGAUCUCCUCCUACUUCGAGAAUGAUCCCUAGAAACACAUAUGGAACGCUUCGGCUCCUUUCCCUUUCAUCGCGACUCCUCCUUAUGCCCACUUCAUCCUUCGGACCGAUCAUGGCUAAAUGCUUCGUCCCGUAAUUCCGCCACCCGAAGCAUCUAUUCGGCUAUAUCUUCUCUUUGCUUUAUCAGGACCUCCAUGGCUCUAUCUGCUUCGUCCGCCAUCUUCGCCAACUUGGCAGCUCUAUCCUCCUGGCUACUUCUAUGAUAAAUCUUGGUCGGUGAGCCUUCCACCUGUCCUCGACCAUGAUCUCGCUCCUCAUUCGCACCGAAAACCAAUCUUCGUCUGGCCCCGACAGGAAUCUUCGGACGGAGAUCCCCUGAAUUAUGCUUAGAAGCCGUGCUCUCGUGAGCACUUUUGGAAGGACCCAGACGAUCCUUCACCGAAACACGAGGCAGUGACGAGCUAACAG